rnacentral:lncRNA from 1 species
UAGGAGUCAGGUUGACUCUGUGAUGGGACUAAGCCCUCAAAGGCUGGGAAGUUGAAUGGCCUUGAAGGGAGCACCCCCAUUUCUUUGAACAUCAAGCAUCAGGGGAAUGUAUCAGAGCACACUGCACUGCUGAUAGGAUUCCCUGCAAGGCCGGUCCUUCCUCCACCCUGUUCACAUGUUAACUUGAGCAACACUCUCUGGAUCAUCAAUUCUCCCCACUCUAAGGCACAGGGAUGUUAAAUAAGCCCACCCCACACUUAAUAAGGGGCAAGAAACCUGCUGCAGGCCUGUGGGCUAACCCAGGCGCAUUUUGCUGCUUCUGUUUGAAGUGGGAGGUGGGGCUAAUGGCCUAAUCAUCACUAUAUGAGAAAAGAGGGUCAGAGGGCUCACUCAAUGGCAGGGCAGUGUCCAGAGCUACCUGUGUCUUGCUCAGUUCUCCGAAUUGUGGAAAGCGCUAGACCAGACUUCCACACUGGCUCAUAUUUCUGAAAAGAGGUCCCUGGAGGACCGAGGCCUCCACCGCAUGGGGUGUGGGAUGUUCCUGGGCCUGGCACAGACAACAGUUCUGGCCACAGGCCCAGCAUUGAAACAGGAGGAGCGGAAGUCUCCUUUCAAGGCUGAGAGGGCAGAGAGGGCGGGAACCACUGCCCAGCGCCAUGCCUUCUGGGGGCGUGGCAUUGGCCCAGAACCAGGACGCUCUCUGAGGGCUGGGGAGCUGCACUUUGGUACCUGAGUUUACCCACCAAGGGCCUUCCCUGGGUUCUGUGGAUUGUCUAGGCAGAGAGAUUGAAUCAGGCAGUGUCCAAAAGCUGGGUUGGAGUUACAUUAAGAUGAGGAAUUCAGGCCGGGCAGACAUAUUUCUCUUCGGAGCUUUAUGUGCCUGUGACAGCUCUUCUUGACAAACCCCUUCCUUCCUUCAUAACUGCAGUGAAAAAAUUCCUCACAUACAUCAGGCUUUGUUAAGCCAGGUGCGGUGGCGCUCGCAUUUAAUCUCAGCCUUGGGGAGGCAAGCCAUUGUCUGAAUUUGAGGCCAGCUUGGUCUACAUAGGGAGUUUUAGGUUAGCUAGGGUGACACAAGUGAGACCCUGUCCUG